UGGGGAAUAUUGCACAAUGGGCGCAAGCCUGAUGCAGCCAUGCCGCGUGUAUGAAGAAGGCCUUCGGGUUGUAAAGUACUUUCAGCGGGGAGGAAGGUGUUGUGGUUAAUAACCGCAGCAAUUGACGUUACCCGC
rnacentral:rRNA from 1 species